AAAAAAAAAAAAAAAAAACUGAAUAUGGUGUUUUUUGAUACCUUCUUGUUGUAGUCAAAAUUUAACAUAUAUAAUAAUUUUAUAUGACUUUUUCCUUUUCUCCACAAAAAUGUAGGGAACAAAAAAUCAUCGUUGAGCUUUUUAGACUGGAUUGUCUACAAUUCUUUCAUUAUUAUUUUUAACUGGGUGAAUCUGGUUUUAGGUCAUUUCUGUCAUGUCUAUGUG
rnacentral:misc_RNA from 1 species